GACGAACGCUGGCGGCGUGCUUAACACAUGCAAGUCGAACGGAAAGGCCCUGCUUUUGUUGGGUGCUCGAGUGGCGAACGGGUGAGUAACACGUGAGUAACCUGCCCUUGACUUUGGGAUAACUUCAGGAAACUGGGGCUAAUACCGGAUAGGAGCUCCUGCUGCAUGGUGGGGGUUGGAAAGUUUCGGCGGUUGGGGAUGGACUCGCGGCUUAUCAGCUUGUUGGUGGGGUAGUGGCUUACCAAGGCUUUGACGGGUAGCCGGCCUGAGAGCGUGACCGGCCACAUUGGGACUGAGAGACGGCCCAGUCUCCUACGGGAGGCAACAGUGGGGAAUAUUGCACAAUGGGCGGAAGUCUGAUGCAGCAGCGCCGCGUGCGUGAUGACGGCCUUCGGGUUGUGAACCGCUUUCGCCUGAGACGAAGCGUGAGUGACGGUAAUGGGUAAAGAAGCACCGGCUAACUACGUG
rnacentral:rRNA from 1 species